UUUCCACAUUCGAAGCAACCCCUCAAGCUUAUGCUUGCCAAUAUACUUGAGAGAGGACAUCUAAGUACAUAUUGGGAGAAGAGAUCCAUGGUUAAAAAUAUAAAAAAGAAUAACAUAUUUUAUUUUCGCAGUCAUAAUAACUAUUUACAUGUUAAAAAGAAAGAUUCUAGCUAUACCGAUCCUUCCCCCCACCCCUAAAUGAUUGCAAAUUUAACUUCUGAAACCGACUUAAACAUAUAAGAUAACUAUUUUAGACGAUUAAUAGAGAUCACAACAUUACUAAAAGCUAUAUUUUCUAGACAUGUAUUCAUUCUUCAUAUACAUAGCUGAUAAUGAGAUUCAGACUAUGCUUUUAAUAUCGAGGUGAAGGAUCGAGGUCGAGACACCUCGGAUAUAGAUUCAGCUCGUCCUUCACCACUGCAAUUUCAUGCCAACAUCUUGCUCAAAUGAGUAUUCCAUGGAGAGUAAUUGGUAUCGACCUGCGGAAGGGAAAAAAUAAACACACCAAAAUGUUUAGGCACAUGAUCAAAAAUAUAUAACAACAGUUUUGUAUAGCUAAUCUUAACUACUGAACGAAAUUCGUAUUACACUAUUAGCUAGUACUAUUAUAGUAAAAGUACUAUGAACCAUUGCACUAUCUUAGCUUGAUUAAUAUCAGCACAAAAUCCAAUUCGAUCAAUUACGUAUGAUAUAUGGCUGAGAUAUUAAAGUAAAGUUAGGUCAAAUAUAUUGUGAUGGUAUAAAAAAGACUAAAUCCUAAAUAAGAGGUAUUAUUUGUUACAAAUUUUGCAACUAUAUCAACACUACGCAAUAACGUAACCUUUAUAGAAAAAAGUUAAAGUAACAAAAUAUUCAUCAACUAAUCAAAAGGAUAAUAUUUUACCAAAACUAAAAGAAUAAUAUUUUACCGUUGCACUCGUUUUAGUCUCCCUUUCUUUCGUGGAAUAUGAAUGAGAGAAAUCAUAUUAUUUUGUUUUUUCUUAGUUUGAAGAAAGCUU
rnacentral:lncRNA from 1 species